rnacentral:rRNA from 1 species
UACAGAGGGUGCAAGCGUUAAUCGGAAUUACUGGGCGUAAAGCGUGCGUAGUCGGUUAUCUAAGUCGGAUGUGAAAUCCCCGGGCUUAACCUGGGAACUGCGUUUGAAACUGGGAGACUUGAGUGUGGCAGAGGGGGGUGGAAUUCCACGUGUAGCAGUGAAAUGCGUAGAUAUGUGGAGGAACACCGAUGGCGAAGGCAGCCCCCUGGGUUAACACUGACGCUCAUGCACGAAAGCGUGGGGAGCAAACAGG